AGCAUGUGGUUUAAUUCGAUGCAACGCGAAGAACCUUUACCUGGUCUUGACAUCCACGGAAGUUUUCAGGGAUGAGAAUGUGCCUUCGGGAACCGUGAGACAGGUGCUGCAUGGCUGUCGUCAGCUCGUGUUGUGAAAUGUUGGGUUAAGUCCCGCAACGAGCGCAACCCUUUAUCCUUUGUUGCCAGCGGUCCGGCCGGGAACUCAAAGGAGACUGCCAGUGAUAAACUGGAGGAAGGUGGGAUGACGUCAAGUCAUCAUGGCCCUUACGACCAGGGCUACACACGUGCUACAAUGGCGCAUACAAAGAGAAGCGACCUCGCGAGAGCAAGCGGACCUCAUAAAGUGCGUCGUAGUCCGGAUUGGAGUCUGCAACUCGACUCCAUGAAGUCGGAAUCGCUAGUAAUCGUGGAUCAGAAUGCCACGGUGAAUACGUUCCCGGGCCUU
rnacentral:rRNA from 1 species